AUUUCCUUUAGAUGAGAAGGUGACGGCGAUAAGACGUGAGACAUACUGUAUGUACAGUGAGACAAAACGAUGAGCGCAUCUGCAUCGAAGGCGAAGCUCUCAGUCAGAGUUGAUAGUUUGUAUCUGCGUCCUUUUUGUGCAAUACAGUACAGAAUACAUCUUGUAUCCAACUAAUGCAGAGUAUAUUCAAGUUGCCAACACACUGGUUGUGAAGAACCCUUUCCAGAGAAAUAUAAAAGGAAAUGACUGUGAAACUUGUGUUGGGGAGGAUUCAGUGUCUGUUGAGGCCCAUGCGAAUGUGCUACAAAGUGAGUAUCAGAAAACACAUCCAGACACCUGGACUGUCAAAGACCACUCGGCACGAACAUUCUCCUGGAGACGCUGAGAAAGCACGGAAGGAAUGUCUGUGGAGGAUGUACUCAAACACACCCAUACUUAAGGACACCUGCUGGACUAAUGGAUACUGACUGGAAAAUGGUAAUCAUAGGAGGAGGGCUCAGUGUGGUGAAAGAAGAUGGAAUAGACAUGUGCCAGUGCACCAGCCUUGAUGAAGCCUUCAUAACAGCCUUCUGUAUGUAUUUUGCUUUCAACAUUGCAUAUCCAACAUACCUGAGAAAGACACUGACUUUCCUUCAGAGGCACAUUGUCAACAUUGUGGAAGAUGGAGACAAACACUGCCAGUAACUUUACUCUGAAUGAUCAGCCUUUUGUAUUAGAUCCUCAUGCCUCAACUGUACCAUUACACAAAGUGCACUCGAAGGACAUUCACUCUUUUGAAGUUAAUCCAACAUGUUGAACCAAAAAUUAGUAUAACCUAUGGUAUAGAUGAGUGCCAGUCACCUUUUUUGUUAUUUUAUUCUUUUAGAAAA